rnacentral:rRNA from 1 species
UCGAGGAUCUUCCGCAAUGGGCGCAAGCCUGACGGAGCGACGCCGCGUGUGGGAUGAAGGCCUUCGGGUUGUAAACCACUGUCACUCGUUAAGAAAGGGUCCGGCGUCAACAGCGUCGGGCACUGACGAAGGCGAGAGAGGAAGCCACGGCUAACUUCGUGCCAGCAGCCGCGGUAAGACGAAGGUGGCGAGCGUUGUUCGGAAUCACUGGGCAUAAAGCGCACGUAGGCGGUGCCGUAAGUCGGGUGUGAAAUCCCUCGGCCUAACCGGGGAACUGCGCCCGAUACUGCGGUGCUUGAGGACCAGAGGGGUGCAUGGAAUUUCCGGUGGAGCGGUGAAAUGCGUUGAUAUCGGAAGGAACUCCGGCGGCGAAGGCGAUGCACUGGCUGGUUUCUGACGCUGAGGUGCGAAAGCCAGGGGAGCAAACGGG